CCGCUCCGGUCCCCGCCGUCCCGCUCCGGUGCAGACCCACGUGCGCGGCUGCGCGCGCCCCUCUGACUCCUGGUUGUUCACCCUCUCCCUGUCCCUGCAAGCGCAGCGCGGAGGCAGGCCUGCCCCUACUCAGCUCAGGGCACCGGGCUCGCCCUGGGGAAAGCGAGGCCUGUAACGUCCGGACAUAUGAAGUCCCUUUAAGAGAAGCCAGUGUCACAACUAUGAAAGAGAAGAGUCCUCUUGUGUUCCUGAAAACAUGUGAUAUUCCUUGGAAUACAGUAGCCAAGCUGAACCCAGAGCCUGCACAAUCCAUGCAUACUCCAACUGUGAGAAGUUGAUGGAAGCUGUCUGGGUUGUUCCGGGCAGCUGAGGUUGCAGAAGUGUCCAGAGCCUUACAUGAAUACAAGUAUAAACUUAGCUUCAUAAUACAAACAUUGUGAAGCUGAUAGUUCCAGGAGCUCUUCCUCAGAACUAGCAUCAAAUAUAAAACUUUGGUCUUCCUAGUGUCUUCUGUGGGUUAACAACUUGGCUUCCAGGCUUUUGAAUUUUGGAGACCUAACUUUGGCAGAAUCCAUUUUGCACUUUCUACUGCUCUUCAAUCUCUCUUCACUCAUCCUCCUAUAAUAUGUCUCCCAUUUGGCAGGAGAAAAUUUUGGUCAUAAGAUAAAGAAGGAAAAUGUCCCUCACGACCAAGUGGGCUUCAUCCCAGAGAUGCAGGGAUGGUUCUACAUACAGAA